GAUGAACGCUGGCGGCGUGCCUAAUACAUGCAAGUCGAGCGAACGGACGAGAAGCUUUCUUCUCUGAUGUUAGCGGCGGACGGGGGAGUAACACGUGGAUAACCUACCUAUAAGACUGGGAUAACUUCGGGAAACCGGAGCUAAUACCGGAUAAUAUCUUGAACCGCAUGGUUCAAAAGUGAAAGACGGUCUUGCUGUCACUUAUAGAUGGAUCCGCGCUGCAUUAGCUAGUUGGUAAGGUAACGGCUUACCAAGGCAACGAUGCAUAGCCGACCUGAGAGGGUGAUCGGCCACACUGGAACUGAGACACGGUCCAGACUCCUACGGGAGGCAGCAGUAGGGAAUCUUCCGCAAUGGGCGAAAGCCUGACGGAGCAACGCCGCGUGAGUGAUGAAGGUCUUCGGAUCGUAAAACUCUGUUAUUAGGGAAGAACAUAUGUGUAAGUAACUGUGCACAUCUUGACGGUACCUAAUCAGAAAGCCACGGCUAACUACGUG
rnacentral:rRNA from 1 species